ACUCUAAUCGCCAACGGCCAACGUAUAACCAGAAAGUAAAAGUAGCCAUUACGAGUCUAACCAUAGAUGCACAUGAAAGUUGCUUGCUUUGAUGAUGUUGAUUUUAUGAGUCAGUUUUCAUGGAUUUUAAUUUAAAACCAUGAGAGGCUGUGAUGAUGUUUAAGUCAUUAGUCAAUUUUCAUUAAUGGUGUUAAUGUAAACAAUGGUAUUUGUAAUCUAAUUUAUAGAAUAUAUGAGCAAUCUACUCCUAUAAAUUCCAAUAGUAGUUCAUAGAAAAUUUUAUAAAAUACUAAAGAGUAGGUUCUAAGGAUUAUAAUUAACCAUAACAAAUGGGAAUGGCCACGGUAGCACUGAUGCUUAUAGGGGUGAUAAUCUAUCCUUGUGUAUGUGGAAAAGAGUUCUCCGAUCACCAGGAAAUCAAAAUACAAACUCUUUUGAAGCGGCUCAACAAGCAUGCUCUUAUAUCCAUUAAGACCGUAGAUGGAGAUAUAAUAGAUUGUGUUCCAAUACAUAGUCAACCAGCUUUUGAUCAUCCUCUGCUUCGAAAUCACACCAUCCAGUUUUGCAAAUGUCAGGCACGGCCCUGGUUGAAACGUUCAGUUUUCGCACGUAGAUGAGACCGAGCUUUAUACCGGAAAUUACGUCUACGUACACCAAGAAAAAGACAAAGGCACCUCAAGCGUGGCACAAGAAUGGAAGAUGCCCAAAAAAUACAGUUCCGAUAAGAAGAAUAAUGAAAGAAGAUAUCUUACGAUCAAAAUCCAUUGAGAGUUUUGGAAAAAAAACGACUUCAAGCAUCCCUGAAAAUGAUCCAAGUAAAGGCCAUGAGUACGCGGUCAUGAAUUCCAUGCAAGGAAAGUAUUUCGGCACCAAAUUUGCAGUAAAUAUGUGGAAACCAGAAGUUCAAGUUCCCAACGAGUUCAGCUUAGCUCAGACUUGGCUCGUUUCUGGAGUUGGCACUACUCGUAACACAAUUGAAGCUGGUUUACAGGUUUAUCCAGGAAAAUAUGGUGAUAAUAAUCUAAGAUUAUUUGUUUUCUGGACAGUAAGUUCCCAUUUCUGCGCAAAACAAUUUAAAAGCUUUAAAUUUUUAAACUUCUCGCUAGCUAGUUUUUGGAUUUUAAAUAAAACUAGAUGAUAAUCUGCGUCCUACGCGGGAUGAGUUUAAAAAAAAAAUAUUGUACUUGAAUAUUAAAAAAAUAUACAUUUUGUUAUCAAUAACUUUUUUUACAUUUGA